AUUGAACGCUGGCGGCAUGCCUUACACAUGCAAGUCGAACGGUAACAGGUCUUCGGAUGCUGACGAGUGGCGAACGGGUGAGUAAUACAUCGGAACGUGCCCGAUCGGGGGGGAUAACGCAGCGAAAGCUGUGCUAAUACCGCAUACGAUCUACGGAUGAAAGCGGGGGAUCGCAAGACCUCGCGCGGACGGAGCGGCCGAUGGCAGAUUAGGUAGUUGGUGGGGUAAAGGCUCACCAAGCCUGCGAUCUGUAGCUGGUCUGAGAGGACGACCAGCCACACUGGGACUGAGACACGGCCCAGACUCCUACGGGAGGCAGCAGUGGGGAAUUUUGGACAAUGGGCGCAAGCCUGAUCCAGCCAUGCCGCGUGCAGGAUGAAGGCCUUCGGGUUGUAAACUGCUUUUGUACGGAACGAAAAGGUUCUUUCUAAUAAAGAGAGCCCAUGACGGUACCGUAAGAAUAAGCACCGGCUAACUACGUGCCAGCCGCCGCGGUAA
rnacentral:rRNA from 1 species